UGGUGUGAAGGGAGCGGAGGCUGCGCCGCGGAGCGAAGCGAGCUAGAGGGUGAGAAGCGCCGGGCCCGACCAGAACCGUCUUCGCUUUUCCCUGUGCGAUUGCUCUGGCUGGUUACUUCGAGCCUUCCUUCUCAGCGCCGCAGGAGAGACUCCACAGCAAGAAUGACUGUGUCCUGGGUUCAGCCCCCACUCUUCUGGGAGCUUCCCCCGGUUUCUGCACUUGAGGAAUGUCUUCCCAGCGAAAGGUUCUUAGGAGCGGGGAGCGACAAAGAAAGAGAAAGAAAAGCAGACCUGAAAAUUGGGACCUGGGAGAAAUGGGAACUCAAACCAAAAACAGGAAUCAGCCUUGCUAAUUAGUGCUGAGUGGAUCAGGGACUAACCAGAAUCAGGCAACAAGAAAAUAGACAAGUGCUCUAAACCAGUAUCAUGGCUUUAGUUCCUCUGACAAGGAUUCACAUAGGG